AAUAGAUACCCUGGUAGUCCACGCCCUAAACGAUGUCAACUAGCUGUUGGGGCCUUCGGGCCUUGGUAGCGCAGCUAACGCGUGAAGUUGACCGCCUGGGGAGUACGGUCGCAAGAUUAAAACUCAAAGGAAUUGACGGGGACCCGCACAAGCGGUGGAUGAUGUGGAUUAAUUCGAUGCAACGCGAAAAACCUUACCUACCCUUGACAUGUCUGGAAUGCCGAAGAGAUUUGGCAGUGCUCGCAAGAGAACCGGAACACAGGUGCUGCAUGGCUGUCGUCGGCUCGUGUCGUGAGAUGUUGGGUUAAGUCCCGCAACGAGCGCAACCCUUGUCAUUAGUUGCUACGAAAGGGCACUCUAAUGAGACUGCCGGUGACAAACCGGAGGAAGGUGGGGAUGACGUCAAGUCCUCAUGGCCCUUAUGGGUAGGGCUUCACACGUCAUACAAUGGUCGGGACAGAGGGUCGCCAACCCGGCGAGGGGGAGCCAAUCCCAGAAACCCGAUCGUAGUCCGGAUCGCAGUCUGCAA
rnacentral:rRNA from 1 species